rnacentral:rRNA from 1 species
CAGUAGCCGCGGGAAUACAGGGGGUGCAAGCGUUAAUCGGAUUUACUGGGCGUAAAGGGCGCGUAGGUGGUUAUGUAAGUGAGAUGUGAAAUCCCCGGGCUCAACCUGGGAACUGCAUCUUAUACUGCGUAGCUGGAGUGCAGUAGAGGGUAGUGGAAUUUCCGGUGUAGCGGUGAAAUGCGUAGAUAUCGGAAGGAACACCAGUGGCGAAGGCGGCUACCUGGACUGACACUGACACUGAGGCGCGAAAGCGUGGGGAGCAAACAGGAUUAGAUACCCCCGUAGUCCCUGUCUCUUAUAC